rnacentral:rRNA from 1 species
GGGGAAUAUUGCACAAUGGGCGAAAGCCUGAUGCAGCAACGCCGCGUGAGUGAUGAAGGCCUUCGGGUUGUAAAGCUCUGUCUUCUGGGAUGAUAAUGACGGUACCAGAGGAGGAAGCCACGGCUAACUACGUGCCAGCAGCCGCCGUAAUACGUAGGUGGCAAGCGUUGUCCGGAUUUACUGGGCGUAAAGGAUGCGUAGGCGGAUACUUAAGUCAGAUGUGAAAAUCCCGGGCUUAACUUGGGAACUGCAUUUGAAACUGGGUAUCUAGAGUGCGGGAGAGGAAAGUGGAAUUCCUGGUGUAGCGGUGAAAUGCGUAGAGAUUAGGAAGAACACCAGUGGCGAAGGCGACUUUCUGGACCGUAACUGACGCUGAGGCAUGAAAGCGUGGGGAGCAAACA